rnacentral:rRNA from 1 species
AUUGAACGCUGGCGGCAUGCUUUACACAUGCAAGUCGAACGGCAGCGCGGGCUUCGGCCUGGCGGCGAGUGGCGAACGGGUGAGUAAUGCAUCGGAACGUGCCCAGUAGUGGGGGAUAGCCCGGCGAAAGCCGGAUUAAUACCGCAUACGACCUGAUGGUGAAAGCGGGGGACCGAAAGGCCUCACGCUAUUGGAGCGGCCGAUGUCGGAUUAGCUAGUUGGUGGGGUAAAGGCUUACCAAGGCGACGAUCCGUAGCUGGUCUGAGAGGACGACCAGCCACACUGGGACUGAGACACGGCCCAGACUCCUACGGGAGGCAGCAGUGGGGAAUUUUGGACAAUGGGGGCAACCCUGAUCCAGCCAUGCCGCGUGCGGGAAGAAGGCCUUCGGGUUGUAAACCGCUUUUGUUCGGGAAGAAAUACUCUGGGCUAAUACCCCGGGGGGAUGACGGUACCGGAAGAAUAAGCACCGGCUAACUACGUG